CACGUAGGGCGCAAGCGUUGUCCGGAAUUAUUGGGCGUAAAGAGCUCGUAGGCGGACUGUCACGUCCGCUGUGAAAAGCUAGGGCUUAACCCUGGCCUUGCAGUGGAUACGGGCAGACUAGAGGUAGGUAGGGGAGAAUGGAAUUCCCGGUGUAGCGGUGAAAUGCGCAGAUAUCGGGAGGAACACCGGUGGCGAAGGCGGCUCUCUGGGACGGUACUGGACGCUGAGACGCGAAAGCGUGGGGAGCGAACAGG
rnacentral:rRNA from 1 species